rnacentral:snRNA from 1 species
UUUUUCUUGCAGCAAAUCAGAU